CGUGAUUGCGGAUGCUGUGCAGGUGCGUCCGCCUUCCCUGCACAGCACCGCAGGCCACGCCC
rnacentral:pre_miRNA from 1 species